rnacentral:lncRNA from 1 species
GCUGUUCUCCAGACCCAGCUGUGCCUCUAUGCCCCUCCCCUUCUCAGUGCUACAGGCCCUGCUUACAGACUGGAGCCAGGUGCUCAGAUUCGGUAAAGUACCCAUGCCCUGUUCAAUCAAUUCUGCAGGCCCAGCUAGUCAACACACACUUCUACACAUUCUGUGCAGCGGGAGUAUAUUUGAACAAGACUCGGAUAUCCAUGGGAGUGAUGGCAUCUUCUAGUCCUGUCCAUGUUGAAUACAUAAGGUUCAGGAGUCCACGCUUUUACCUCCAAGACUCAUGCGGACCUAAGGACUGGUGCUGAACCCUGGGCAGAGUUAGGAACCCUUCUAAUGCAACUAGAAUCUUUAAGAAAACAAAGGACUGAUUGCAUGUCUGCUGAAAGAUGCUUUCAGAGUUCUUGGCUGCGUGAGGGUUUCAUCAUUUUGCCCAUCAGUGUGGUUUAAAGGAGACCACUUAAUCCCAAGAGCAGUGUUUUCCAAAGCAUAUCCCAUUGUACACUGGUCUUGUAAAAUGAGAAAGUAAAGAUGAUUGUGUAGUCAAAAAGUUUAUGAAACACUGGAUACUAGAUCCUCAUCUGGGGAGAUUCACAGUGCACUUUGCAUAUUAGAGGGCCUGAGAAGUCCUGCAAUAAAGAAAUUUGUUUAACUCAGUGUGAUCUAAACAUGUUUCACAAAAGAAUCAUUUUUUGGUGACAGCGAUGGGUAUCCCUUGAUAGCAGUGUUACAUUGAGUGCCUUUGGGGAAAGCUGCCUUUAGAAAUGUGUGUGUGUGUGUGUGUGUGUGUGUGUGUGUGUGUGUGUGUGUGUGUGUCCCUUACCUGCAGAGCUUCCUGAGGCUUGGUCUAGGGGGAGGAACACUUCUCUACCUUCUGCCUCCCUGUCUUCCAGUUCCCAAGUCUUAAGCUGGCCAACACACCUGCCCAGGUACAGGUGUUCUUCCUUUCUCUGCUGGCUCUUUUUUCUCUGUCCCAGCCCAGGAUGUUGGAGGGAGGAAGAGGAAAUGUCAGCUUCAACUUCAACCAACUGGCCCAUUGCUCACCCACCUGUAGUUUGGCCCACAGUCUGAUUUAAUAUCCACUGUUUCUUGUUUUUAAAGAAUGAGACUGAAAAAUUACUCUUUACUCUUCUUCCCAAACUGUUCUCCAAGUUUUCUUCUCCCAGGAAGCCUCACCUGUGAGCAUGCACUGUUGGUUUAGGGCAGUGGUUGUCAAAUUUUGGUCCCUGGAUCAGCAGCGAAGCAACAGCAUCACCUAGGAACUUGCUAGAAUUGCAAAUUCUCAGACUCCCACUGAAUUAGACACUCUAGAGGUAGAGCCCAGCAAUUUUUGUUUUAACAAGCCCUCCAGGUGAUUCUGACGCAAACCAUUAGCCUAGGGUGUUGGAAAUCUCUUUCACUGAGCAGGUUCUAUUUUACCUCAUUCGUUUUCUGCAUAUGUUUUUAUUUAUACCACACCAAAUUCCGAAAAGGAUGAGGACAACCAAUACUGAAAUACUUAGGUGCUAGCACAAUUAAAACAAGUGUACAAACACUCUUCCUCCCAAUAACUGUCUGGCUCACUCCCUCACCUCCUCCAGGUCUCAGACAGGCCCUCCUUGAUCAUUUCCGAAAUGUCAAUCUCCUCUCACUGCCCUCCUACUCCCUAUCCUCCUCUACUUUAUCUUUCUCCUUAGCAUUGAUUAUUAUGUAAUAUCUAUACAAUUUAUACGUUUUUAUUUUUUCUCUCCUCCCUUGAAUAUAAGCUCCAUGGGGCAGGGCUUUUCAUCUAUUUUGUUCCCUACUUCAUCCCCAGCACUAGAAUGCUUCCUGCUUCAAUAAACAUUUGUUCAGUAGACAACCCUUAUCAUAAGGAGGCAGGAGAGGUCUGCUGUGGUGAUGAAACAGAAUUUUACUCUGAGCUUGCUAGCAGUCAAAGAGUUACAAAGAUCUCUUUAUCAAAUAACAGGAAAUCAGAAAGUCCUUUUGGGAAAGACAGAAUCAGCCCAGACCCCCA